UACAAUGUUCUUGUGUGCCAUUAGUCACAGU
rnacentral:piRNA from 1 species